rnacentral:rRNA from 1 species
UACGAAGGGUGCAACCGUUACUCGGAAUUAUUGGGCGUAAAGCGCACGUAGGCGGCAUUGCAAGUCGGAUGUGAAAUCUUAUGGCUUAACCAUAAAAGUGCAUCCGAAACUGCAGUGCUUGAGUACUUAAGAGGAUCGCGGAAUUCCCGGUGUAGAGGUGAAAUUCGUAGAUAUCGGGAGGAACACCAGUGGCGAAGGCGGCGAUCUGGGAAGAUACUGACGCUGAGGUGCGAAAGCGUGGGGAGCAAACAGG